GUGGAUUAGAUACCCUGGUAGUCCACGCCCUAAACGAUGUCGACUAGUUGUUGGGGGUUGAAAUCCCUGGUAACGCAGCUAACGCGUGAAGUCGACCGCCUGGGGAGUACGGCCGCAAGGUUAAAACUCAAAGGAAUUGACGGGGGCCCGCACAAGCGGUGGAUGAUGUGGAUUAAUUCGAUGCAACGCGAAGAACCUUACCUAGCCUUGACAUGUGCGGAACCUUGCAGAAACGCGAGGGUGCCCGAAAGGGAACCGCAACACAGGUGCUGCACGGUCGUCGUCAACU
rnacentral:rRNA from 1 species